UUCCUUGAGGGGGCUGUCGCCUAUGCUGUGAUCGGCCGACAAACCAUCCAUUUAAAUUACCUAAUUGCUGUGAUCCUCACUGGUGUGGCUGGGUUAUUUCCUUUAAUCGAUAUGUGUCUUCAAAGAAAGCACUUCAAAGGCAAGAGGGCCAGAAAGAACGUGCUGAGUCCUCCUCCACCAAAAGAAAAGGGGCCGGAGGGAGAGAAGCCGAAGGAGGGAGACAAGGAAAAAGCCAAGAAGUGACCUGCAGGGGAACCCGCUGGCAGAAAUGGCAGUGUAUUUUCUGGCAAAACACGUUUCCACUGUCUACUUGCCUUCUUUCUAAGAUAGUUUUCUUUUCCAUUCUAAUGACCACCUUUGCUUGGGAAAAAAAUAUC
rnacentral:lncRNA from 1 species